rnacentral:misc_RNA from 1 species
GUUCAUUUUAUUGUUCAUUUUUGAGUUCGGACACUUGUAAUAGUAUCAUCCUCAAUUUCAAUUCACUACAUAAUUGUAGUGCGAAGAAGGGAAAUUUUCAGGAUGAUUGACAAUUAGCCGAAGAGAUGUUUAAACAAGAGCUCUGAGCAUCAGCACAAAGCAAUCCUCAUUCAUCAGCUCGCUGAACGAGGCAUAUGAGAUGGCGGCAAAGAUCAAUAGAUAUUUGGCCAUGGACUUGAAUCAAUAAAUCUCAACUUCACUUGUCUUCUUCACAAAUAGCUGAAGAGGCCAUAUAGCCAUUAUUAAUGCAGACAACCCUUUAAGCAAUAUCCCUUAGCCUGACAGAAUGGACAUAAGAAUAAAGACAAAAGAAUUAAAGUUAUAACUUCAGUUUUUAACCUCUUUUGAUAUCAUUCUCAAAGCACAUACUCGAAGAGAGAAGCAGCUUGUACAAACUGAAAGUAUGCGCAACAGAACAAGCAUUUUUCAUUUUGCAUAUGUCUGAUAAUUACAUAUACCCAAAAUGUUGAUUAAACCACAUGGUCCUUGGAAAGUUCCUACAACCUAAACCAACGCAUAACAGAGAUUUGAGAAGAUCCCAUUUAAGGCAACCCAGGGUCAAGGCCUAUUUGAACUUUUGAUACCCGACACAGUCUCCACCCUAACUUUGAACAAAAUCAUAGAUGUCUGUUACAGAGUUCAUGGAAAUAAAAAGGGAUAAAACACCCACUCUAUUCACACUUAAUCGAUCUGUAUAUAUGACGUACAAAGAACAAGGAGGCACGGAAUCCCACUGUCCCAAGCAUAAGAAAGAAGCCGUAGCAUAUGCAGGCCAUGUACCCA